AAUGAACGCUGGCGGCAUGCCUUACACAUGCAAGUCGAACGGCAGCAUGACCUAGCUUGCUAGGUUGAUGGCGAGUGGCGAACGGGUGAGUAAUGCAUCGGAACGUGCCUUUUAGUGGGGGAUAACGUAGCGAAAGUUACGCUAAUACCGCAUAUUCUCUGAGGAGGAAAGCAGGGGACCUUCGGGCCUUGCGCUAGAAGAGCGGCCGAUGUCGGAUUAGCUAGUUGGUGAGGUAAAGGCUCACCAAGGCAACGAUCCGUAGCGGGUCUGAGAGGAUGAUCCGCCACACUGGGACUGAGACACGGCCCAGACUCCUACGGGAGGCAGCAGUGGGGAAUUUUGGACAAUGGGUGCAAGCCUGAUCCAGCCAUGCCGCGUGAGUGAAGAAGGCCUUCGGGUUGUAAAGCUCUUUCGGCUGGGAAGAAAUCGCACCCUCUAAUACAGGGUGUGGAUGACGGUACCAGCAUAAGAAGCACCGGCUAACUACGUG
rnacentral:rRNA from 1 species